CGGCAUGCCUAACACAUGCAAGUCGAACGGCAGCGCAGUCGUAGCAAUACGAUGGGCGGCGAGUGGCGGACGGGUGAGGAAUACAUCGGAAUUUGCCCAGUCGUGGGGGAUAACGUAGGGGAGACUUACGCUAAUACCGCAUACGACCUUCGGUNAAAGGCGGGGGAUCGCAAGACCUCGCGCGGAUGGAUAAGCCGAUGUCGGAUUAGCUAGUUGGCGGGGUAAGAGCCCACCAAGGCGACGAUCCGCAGCUGGUCUGAGAGGAUGAUCAGCCACACUGGGACUGAGACACGGCCCAGACUCCUACGGGAGGCAGCAGGUGGGAAUAUUGGACAUGGGGCAACCCUGAUCCAGCAAUGCCGCGUGUGUGAAGAAGGCCUUCGGGUUGUAAAGCACUUUUGUCCGGAACGAAACGUGGCAGGUGAAUAGCCUGUCAAACUGACGGUACCGGAAGAAUCAGCACCGGCUAACUUCGUG
rnacentral:rRNA from 1 species